UACGUAGGGGGCAAGCGUUGUUCGGAUUUACUGGGCGUAAAGGGCGCGUAGGCGGCGUGGUAAGUCACUUGUGAAAUCUCCGGGCUCAACUCGGAACGGCCAAGUGAUACUGUCAUGCUAGAGUGCGGAAGGGGCAACUGGAAUUCUCGGUGUAGCGGUGAAAUGCGUAGAUAUCGAGAGGAACACCUGCGGCGAAGGCGGGUUGCUGGGCCGACACUGACGCUGAGGCGCGAAAGCUAGGGGAGCGAACGGG
rnacentral:rRNA from 1 species